AUUGAACGCUGGCGGCAGGCCUAACACAUGCAAGUCGAGCGAGCGGCGGACGGGUGAGUAAUGUCUGGGAAACUGCCUGAUGGAGGGGGAUAACUACCGGAAACGGUAGCUAAUACCGCAUACCAUCAGAUGUGCCCAGAUGGGAUUAGCUAGUAUGUGGGGUAACGGCGUACCUAGGCGACGAUCCCUAGCUGGUCUGAGAGGAUGACCAGCCACACGGGAAUUGAGACACGGUCCAGCCUCCUACGGGAGGCAGCAGUGGGUAAUAGUGCACAAUGGGCGCAAGCCUGAGGCAGCCAUGCCGCUUUUGUGAAGAAGGCCUUCGGGUUGUAAAGCACUUUCAGCGGGGAGGCUUUACCCGCAGAAGAAGCACCGGCUAACUCCGUGCCAGCAGCCGCGGUAAUUC
rnacentral:rRNA from 1 species